rnacentral:rRNA from 1 species
UGGGGAAUAUUGCACAAUGGGCGCAAGCCUGAUGCAGCCAUGCCGCGUGUACAGAAGCAGCUUCGGGUUGUAAAGUACUUUCAGCGGGGAGGAAGGUGUUGAGGUUAAUAACCUCAGCAAUUGACGUUACCCGCAGAAGAAGCACCGGCUAACUCCGUGCCAGCAGCCGCGGUAAUACGGAGGGUGCAAGCGUUAAUCGGAAUUACUGGGCGUAAAGCGCACGCAGGCGGUCUGUCAAGUCGGAUGUGAAAUCCCCGGGCUCAACCUGGGAACUGCAUUCGAAACUGGCAGGCUGGAGUCUUGUAGAGGGGGUAGGAAUUCCAGGUUGUAGCGGUGAAAUUGCGUAGAGAUCUGGAGGAAUACCGGUGGCGAAGGCGGCCCCCUG